GAUGAACGCUGGCGGCGUGCCUAAUACAUGCAAGUCGAGCGAACAGACGAGGAGCUUGCUCCUUUGACGUUAGCGGCGGACGGGUGAGUAACACGUGGAUAACCUACCUAUAAGACUGGGAUAACUUCGGGAAACCGGAGCUAAUACCGGAUAAUAUUUUGAACCGCAUGGUUCAAUAGUGAAAGACGGCUUUGCUGUCACUUAUAGAUGGAUCCGCGCUGCAUUAGCUAGUUGGUAAGGUAACGGCUUACCAAGGCAACGAUACGUAGCCGACCUGAGAGGGUGAUCGGCCACACUGGAACUGAGACACGGUCCAGACUCCUACGGGAGGCAGCAGUAGGGAAUCUUCCGCAAUGGGCGAAAGCCUGACGGAGCAACGCCGCGUGAGUGAUGAAGGUCUUCGGAUCGUAAAACUCUGUUAUUAGGGAAGAACAAAUGUGUAAGUAACUGUGCACAUCUUGACGGUACCUAAUCAGAAAGCCACGGCUAACUACGUG
rnacentral:rRNA from 1 species